CGCAAGUUAGUAUAAUUCAAUACUCCUGACUUAGAAUCAGAAAAAAAGGCAACAACCCUUACUUUCUA
rnacentral:tRNA from 1 species